rnacentral:tRNA from 1 species
AAGAAAGUGACAGAGUGGUAAUGUGGCUGGCUUGAAACCAGUAUAUGGAGGUUCAAUUCCUUCCUUUCUUG